CAAGUACCACAAUGCCCUGCAUUUUUACCUGAUUCCAGGAGCUUGAAGUCAGAUCCUCACUCUUUCCAGCAACGGUGUCUUGUAACAGCGCUGAGAGUUUUCUCUUCAGUGUCAAAAAAAGAAAACAAAAUGAAAGCCCUUUCCCAGUGAAAGAAGACACCACCCUGGGUCUGGGAGACUGAACUCCGCCGCAGCUCUCAUUCCAGAGCUGAGGACUCCGGGGCUGGCUACAAAAGCGCCCAUUUGCAGGUGUGUUUGGGGGUUGGGAAGAGGUGUGCAUAUAGCUUGGGUAACUGCUGCGCCUUUGUCUAGUGACCCCGGUAAGAAGAAAAAGGGGGCAGCGAAGAGACGCGUGCUCAGGUCCGCGUCGCUACGGACCAACGAACUGUGCAGAAGCGCGACCCUGGCUGGCGGCUCGAGUUCAAGAGCUACGCUGCGCUGCGCUGCUCGUGGCCCCGAUCCCCUCGAGGGUGCUGUAAGAGAACCCGCUACCCUCGGAGUGGAGGACAUUCAGCUGCACCACUGAACCUAUAGCCAAGGCAAGCACUUCGAGCUACUUGACCGCCCUUUAAGAGUUUGCUGACACACGCCG